rnacentral:rRNA from 1 species
GCAUAACGCGAAGAACCUUACCUGGCCUUGACAUUGAUAGAAUCUGCUAGAGAUAGCGGAGUGCCCUUCGGGGAGCUUGAAAACAGGUGCUGCACGGCUGUCGUCAGCUCGUGUCGUGAGAUGUUGGGUUAAGUCCCGCAACGAGCGCAACCCUCGUCACUAGUUACUAACGGUUCGGCCGAGGACUCUAGUGAGACUGCCUUCGUAAGGAGGAGGAAGGUGAGGACGACGUCAAGUCAUCAUGGCCCUUACGGCCAGGGCGACACACGUGCUACAAUGGGAUGUACAAUGAGACGCAAUACCGCGAGGUGGGGCAAAUCUAUAAAACAUCUCUCAGUUCGGAUUGUAGUCUGCAACUCGACUACAUGAAGCUGGAAUCACUAGUAAUCGUAGAUCAGCCAUGCUACGGUGAAUACGUUCCCGGGUCUUGUACACACCG